UACGGGGGGGGCAAGCGUUGUUCGGAAUUACUGGGCGUAAAGGGCUCGUAGGUGGCCAACUAAGUCAGACGUGAAAUCCCUCGGCUUAACCGGGGAACUGCGUCUGAUACUGGAUGGCUUGAGUUCGGGAGAGGGAUGCGGAAUUCCAGGUGUAGCGGUGAAAUGCGUAGAUAUCUGGAGGAACACCGGUGGCGAAGGCGGCAUCCUGGACCGGCAUUGACGCUGAGGAGCGAAAGCCAGGGGAGCAAAGCGGG
rnacentral:rRNA from 1 species